ACAAAAUUACGCUGCUGCUGAUCUCCUCUUUUCUCAUAAAGUUGGAGAAGAAUUAAUGCCAUUGCAAUGAAGCUGGAGGAGAGACAUUAAGCAACGCGAGUCGUCUCAUUUCCAGCCCAGAGCGGAGGCAGUUCCACGACCACUGUGUCAAAGGGAGGAUAAGAGGAGAGAGGAAAAUGAACAGCGUGUUUGGUAAUUAUGACAUGGGAUGACCCACGCAUCUUGACGAGACAUUGCGAUCGAGGAAAGUGCCGGUCGUCGGUGGCUCGGCGCAAAUGAGAGGAAACAUUUUAAGAACAAUAAUGGAAACGCUCACAGCAUAAAUGGAAUGGAUAUCUGAUCAGGUCCACGGAAAUUCGGAGGAAACCGGGUCGUCGUCUGGGUAUAAGGAUGAAAAAAAGAAGGGAAAGUCAAACAGUGCAGUCGUGUCCCAACCAAAUUAACAUUGACUAUUGUAUCAGCCAACGUCGUAAGUAUGUGCUACUGACUUUCCAGCCGAGGAGAUAAUACCUGGGGACGAGUAGAUUGUGAUUGCAUUUUUACCCAUAAGGCAUUGUAAAAUAGAGGACAAUUUGAUUCAGUGUGCUUCUCCUCCAUUUUUACCGAAAGGAGAAUUUAUGUGGACUGUCUUAAUUGAUUGAUUUUGUUUUGAGAGGAUUCCUUUCCUUUCCUGUUUGCUUUGUUUCUACUUAAACGAAAACCACUACCGUCUUGAUUCCCUCGCUGGGAAUUAAUUUCGUAAUGCUUACCUUCCUUCCCGUUUUGUAUUAAGUUAACUCUGUAAUUUAAUUUACAACUACAUUUGUCCUACGACACAACCAAACGAUUGUAACAGAUAUGUAAUAGUAAGCUUAUUUGGAGGGACCCUACUUUAGGGACUCC